AGCAGCUCGUAGCGCUCGAUGCCGUUGCGGCCGAAGUCGCGGUCGGUGGCUGUGGGCAGCAGGUAAAGUGUGCCCACCGGCCGAUUCUCCUCCACCGUGAGCGUGAGCACGGGCGACGGGAAGGUGGGCGUGUUGUCGUUGAUGUCAAGCACGAUGACCUGACCCUCAAACAGGUCCACCCAGCUCUGCGAGGGCCCGAUCACCGACACCUCGAAGUCCAGGAAGCACUCGUUCUCGUCGAAGAUCAUCUGACACUGGGGCAGCUUCUCGCGGUCGAUGCGCCGCUCGCUCGUGCUCAGCUCGCCAGUGAGGUUGUCGAUCUUCAGGUACUCGGAACCGGACUCCAGGCUGAAAGUCACCUCACCCGAUCCGGUCACGAUGCCCAGGUCUGAAGCCACGUUGCCGAUGCGGACGUCGGCGGGGCCCUCCUCGGCCAGCCGGUACCGGAGGAGCUGCUUGGCGGCCGCCAGGCUGAGCGAGAGCGGCAGGAGGAGGCAGCAGCCCAAGCACCAGCCGCGCGCCCAUCCCGCGGUCCGCAUCCUCAGCAUCUUCUCCUGCUGCUGCUGCUACUGCUCCUUCUAACCACAGCCCCCUCGGCGCCCCCCUCCUCCGGGGCCGGCCGCCUGCCCUCCCCCGAGUCCUCUCCCCUCUCCCGGAAAGGAAGGAGCGAGAGGGAGGGGAGGGAGGGGGCAAAAGCGGCGUGGAGAGUUGGCCGGGAAUGGGGGUGGGAGGGCAGCGAUAGAUGCUUCUUUUUUUCCUCCUGCUUCUUCCGAAAGUUAUUGUUUCAUAAUUCAUGCAAUGGGUGCUAAUCGCCCGCUCGCCUGCCGCCGUUCAGUCGCAGUACUCACAGUUCACGGGACACUGCGCGCCGCGGGUUCGGCGCUCCCCCAACCCAGAGUCAUCCCCUCAGCGGGCGGAGAAUCCCCGGCUCUAGUCCCCGCUCUGUCGGAAGGGGCCAGAACCGCUCCGGCAGACGGGCAGUGGGGCUGGGAAGAGGUGGGGAAUGAGCCUGCAGCCUCCCCCGCCUGCCAGCCCGCUGGUCUUUGCUGCUACUCGAGUUGAGUCCAAUUCACGUUCCAGGCACUCACUCCAAACCCAGGCUCUGCUCCGGCUCCGGCCACCCAGACAAACGUGAGUCGCUUCCUGCACCAGGCGCUGGGGCCAGCAACAAGCCAGUCUCAACUCCGACUCUGCUCAUGCAGCGGGGGAGCCAGUCAACAGAUCGAGAAUGAAAAAUCCCCCGGCACGUCGCUUCGGGCACGGUGCAGGGGAGACUACUCGCGUCACAGAGCGGUCAGUGUCAGGGUCCCCCCGGCGCGCCAAAGAGAAGCCCGAGCCAUCUUCAGAGACGCCCAGAGUCAGUCCCUUCUCACCCCGGAGAGCGCGGGUUUCUCUUUUUUCUUAACAACUCUGCGCAAGGUCAUUAGUCACGAAGCAGCCGCCUGAAACCGCAGCAGCCUUUCGCCCACGGGGGCGAAGGCUGAGCAGUGCGCACCGUGCGGUGCCCAAGUUUGGGUUCGCAGCCGCAGAGUCCGUGCCUUUUCUCACCUGCAUUCGGCCCGCAUGUCGGAGCAGUGGGAUCUGCAGCGCUGUGCGCGAUUCAGGGAGGAGAUUGCAGCCUCUCUCUCCCCGCUCUCUCUCGAUCCCUCCCCUCCCUCCCUCCCUUUCUCUCUCCUCCCUCCUCUCUCUCCUCCCUCCUCUCCUUUCCCCUUUCCCCCUCUCCCACUCGCUCUCUUGCACGCUCUCUCUCCUUCCCAAUGCAGGGAACUCAAGCUGAACUUGAUCCCUUUGCAGUUCAAAGACGACGUCCUCCUCCCCCCGGAAAGUGUCUCCGGUUCGCGAUUUAGGAUCUUGGUUAGGACAUGGUUAUCGGGGUCCUGGGGAACCUACGAGCGCCCAGAAAGCCACUCUGUUCUGAAAAACCAUGACGGGCUGCAGUAGUGAAGAGAGAACAUCAAACUCCAGAGAGCUGGAGAAAGAUCCUUUUUUGGGAGCUCAGACUUUGGAUGGUUGCGGGGGGCAGGGGCGGCGGUGGGUGGAGGGUGAAGGAUGUCUGUCUUUGUUUAAAUGCUUGACAUUCCUGUCGUCGUGCUUGCUUGCGGGGGUAGACCGUGUGUGCGCGCCUGGGGAAUAAACACAUGUUGGAAACCUCGAUAUUAUUUUCUGAGCAGAAACCUGCAGCCUUUAGUAACUGGCAAAGUGUAGCGUCACCUAUCUGGAUAAAAGGGAAAUAAACUUUAAUGGCAACUUUGUGUACCAAAGUGUCCCCAGCUUUCCCAUCUCUCCUUUUGACUUUGUGUCCCUUGACUGUCCCUAUUUCCUGAAGCAAGGCUUCUCCAAUUUUC
rnacentral:lncRNA from 1 species